GAUGAACGCUGGCGGCGUACCUAAUACAUGCAAGUCGAGCGAACAGACGAGGAGCUUGCUCCUCUGACGUUAGCGGCGGACGGGUGAGUAACACGUGGAUAACCUACCUAUAAGACUGGGAUAACUUCGGGAAACCGGAGCUAAUACCGGAUAACAUGUUGAACCGCAUGGUUCAACAGUGAAAGACGGUUUUGCUGUCACUUAUAGAUGGAUCCGCGUCGCAUUAGCUAGUUGGUAAGGUAACGGCUUACCAAGGCAACGAUGCGUAGCCGACCUGAGAGGGUGAUCGGCCACACUGGAACUGAGACACGGUCCAGACUCCUACGGGAGGCAGCAGUAGGGAAUCUUCCGCAAUGGGCGAAAGCCUGACGGAGCAACGCCGCGUGAGUGAAGAAGGUCUUCGGAUCGUAAAACUCUGUUAUUAGGGAAGAACAAAUGUGUAAGUAACUAUGCACGUCUUGACGGUACCUAAUCAGAAAGCCACGGCUAACUACGUG
rnacentral:rRNA from 1 species